rnacentral:lncRNA from 1 species
CCCUAGAAAAUACUUUCACUAUUUGUCCUUGAAUUAAGCAAUGAAGAAGACAACUUUCUACACUUAGAGUAAAUGCAAACAAUUACUUUUCUGGGUCCUCACUGAUUUUUCCAUUUAUCUGCUUCACCUCUCCUCUCUUUCCUUUCUGUUUUCUUCUCUCUCUUUCUCUCUUUCCUUUUCUUUCCCUUUAAUUCUGGCCCCAAAGUAUGGGCUUGGCCAGAGGAAAUACUCAGAAUGAAGGAUUGCAUCUUCCGACCAGAAGCAGGUGCUGAGGAUGGAUAUGACAUCAAAACAGAAGGGUUGAUAGGGAGGAUCAUUAACCAUCAGAGAAAUUGCUAACUGCCCUGGAACACAGCACAUUCUUGGGUGAAAAGUCACUUGAAUGCCUGUUGGAGCCAUCACUAUGGAUUGCCGGCUAUUCUGACUUGGAGUUUGAGGCUGACAUCUGAAACCACAGGUGAGGACUCUGACACAUCCAGAUUUUGUAAGUUGCAUAGAAUGAAUUUCACAGGACGCAUCCAAUUCAUGGACUCUUACAAGUUUGUAUCAACACCUACAGCUCUGACCUCUGGGAAUGAAGAAGAUACUUAACAAUAGUUUUGAUGGACUAGAAAAUCAACAGAGAUAAUAUCCAUAUUCGUAUUGGUAGCCCCAUUGUAUUUAGAUAGUGUGAGCCAGCAGUGUUCACUUCCACCCAAUUCAGGGACUUCCUCUAGCAAGGUAUUGCAGUUUGGAAGUGGGAACAGAAGAGACUGUGCAAUCUUCACAGGAGAACAUUGUCAUGACAAAGAGGACAAACAAGUUCAAGGCAAAAAACUAAACCAUAACCUUGGGAUUCAAGGAAAAAGUCAUCAAGCACAGAGCUCCCGCCAUUUCUGUUCUUUGGCAACCCUGAAAAAGCUGAAAGAGGCUGAUCAUCGCUAAUGUAUUGAACAUCUUUUGAAGCCCCAAUGACUGCCACCAACAAAGAACAGACACAUGUGCUAUCUGGGUGAGCACUUCCUCCUGACUCCUUAACAAAACCCUCCCUGAAAGGUUGAUAAGCAAACAGGCUUCACAACAGAAGGGCAGCUCAUUCCCCAGAGGGACUGACGGAAGCCAUAUUCCCAACACAGGAAAAGAAAGCAGGACAUGGGUGAUUCUGAGAAAGGUGCAGCCUUCCAGGGCAGACAGGAAGCACUGACAUAUGGCAACUGAAUCAAAGGGGAUCAUGAAGUCUCUGUUCAAUCGUUUGAGUCACGAAGUCUCCAAUCCUUCAGCAACAUGGUACUUUGAGCAUGACUUCAGCAAAACCAAGGUUAUAGGUGAUGGUUAUGAUGAUGAAUAAAAGAGCAGUGCAGAGUGAAAAUGAAGAAUAAAUUUGACUUUGAUUUUAGUUCAGGGGUGUAGAUGGAUAUUUUGCCCAGGAUUUGCAACUUGGAUUUUGGGAGAUUGCUUUCCAUGAGGAUUUUGAAUCCUUAUAGAUAAUAUAUUAAUUUAGAGUAGAAUAGAGAUGAAUUCAAAUGAAGAGUGAGAGAAGUUGUAUUUCGAGGAAUAAGAAAGCAGGUAUAAAAACAUUCAGUGAACUUUUAAAUCAUGCUAUAGACAAUCAUCAUAAUGAUGCUACUUAGGAAAGUCAGAGUCACGAAGCUCUGGAUAUAGUUUUUCUGUACUCUGUUGCAAAGGGAAUUCUUUGGUAGAGAAAAUAGAUGGAAGCCUGUCAGUCGCAGAGAAGAAAGUGGAAUGCAGGAGAGUGGGUUCCUAGAGGGAUGUUGCUUUCAAUCUACUUCCCUGCUGCAGUUUCUAGCCAGCACAUGGUAACCACCUCUCUCUUCUGCCACCUUCUGAAGUUACUCAGAUAAAUCUCUGUUCCUUUGACCCAAAAGAAGUGCCCCCCACCAGCCACCUCUGUCCCAUUACAUGGCCCAUUAUGCUUACCUUAUCUCAAAGAUACACUCGAGUUAUUGGAAAUUUCCCAUAAAGAUUCCCACACUCCUGAAAGCGGAAAGAACACAGCAGGAAAAGACGAACUAGGAUGUGUGUUAGUGUAUGUAAUUAUAUUGAGGUUAGAAAUGGAAAACACACCUGAUGCUCUGCGUUAUUAUUUUAAAAACAGCAAUAAGAACAAACUGGAAGCUCAGAAUGAUGCCCUGGAGAGAAUUAUUCUUUUUCUGACAUUUAUUUAGAUUCCCCUUUGAGAAAUAGCUUUAUUUUCAGUGAUUUCUUGGGUGAGUAAAAUAACAUUUCACUCAAGAGUUAAAAGGGGUCAGUUUGGGUCUUGUCAGGGGUGCUUUGGAACUUUCUUGCUGACCUGGAAUUAGUGCACGUGCAUCUGAGUGCUACUCCAGCCACCCAGCACACCAUAAAAUAUGUUUUCCGCUACAGUGAUAUUGCUGGCAGUGCAUAAAACAAAUGGACUGGGUCAGAAAUAGUCAGACUCCACCUUUAAAUGGAUUCUUCUGGAUGUAUGUUACUUUGGAGAGCACUUUUGAAACAUUCUUCUAUUAAGGUUUUCAUUAUGAUUUUAACUCCUGUCUACAGAAGCUAUUCAUUAAUUCAAUUAGUCCUUAUUGCCAACGUAGAGGGUGAGUUCUAUAUUGUAAGCCCCAAUGCACAGAUGCAGAAACCGAGGUUCAGAAGCUUUGACAUCUUGCCCCAGGUCUCUUAGAUGUUAGUAGCUAAUCUGGGAUGCAAACCAGAUGCCUGAAUCAAGUCUUUGUUCUCUUCAUUCUGCUGCACUGGUUCGUCUGACUUGAAAUUGCAUCAGUUAGGGUUUGGGUUCAGCUGCAUACAAAAAAAUCCGAGUGGCUGCCAGUUAGACUAAACAGAGAUUUAUUUUUCUUCCAUAUAACAAUAAAUUCAGACAUAAACAGUCUGAAGCUGGUGGAAAGAAAAUGCUUUCUGGUUUCCCAGUGUGAUUAGGCACAUGAAGGCAGUUGCAAUUCCAGCCCUCAUGACUGUAAUCCAGACUGCAGAAAGGAGUUAGAAACAAGAAAAUCACGUGGCACUUACAUCAGGAAAGCACAGUAUUUUUCAGAAAUACACAGAAAUAACCAGAAAUGUGUCUCACAUGAUCAUUGCUGGUCAUCUAAUCUCCCUAGAAAAGUAAUUUUUAUCUUAUAACAUUGCUGCCCCAACAAAAUAGAGAUUCCCUCAGUAAAAAGGAAUGAAGGAAUGGAUUUUCUGUUAGUACCCAGAGAAGUAUCUGUCUCCAAAAAUAUCUAUCUUUCCACUUCAAAAAUAAUCAAAUGUUUUCUUAGGGCAUUUUUGUCCCAAAGCCUAUUCCCACCCCUUGUUUUAUGUUCCUCAAUUUAGAGCAUGAACACUUGCUGGCUGACCCAUGGUCCCUUUGGCUGAAUGUCAGCCAGCUGUAAAAGGACUAUGUAUAUGAAGACCACACCAGCUAGAAGCUUAACUCAAGGUUUCAUUGUUUUAAAGGACUUAAUAUUCUUCUAGUUUAUGCAGAAUCUCACUGGGUAAAGUUGCAGAAAAAAAUUCUAGAAUAGAAGAGAACAGUUUGGAAUAUGUAAUUCAACUAUUUCUAAGUAAUAGAGAAAGGCAACAAAAAUGUCAAUAUUACAGGCAUCAAAUACUUUAGCUAAUCAGGUAAUGUUAUUGAGUUGGAAGCUGACCCUAUCACCAUAGGUAUCUGUUUUCCUAAGUUACUCAUCUUAACCGCUGAUUCACACUGUUCACCCUCCCACUCGGCAGUGGAAGUUAAAUGGCUUGUGAUUCACAAUCUCAGCCUUAGAGAAGAGAUUUGUAAUAACAGAUGUUUAUAAUGUGCCUCUAGUUUCCCUUGGCCUUCUCUUCCUCCUCACUAAAUCCCUCAUUCUAGACCAUGGAAUUUUACAAGGGACUUGAUGUCCUUGGGUCUUGCUGAGACAGAAGAUAUUCACAAAGGCUUGGACGAAAAGCUCCUCAGCCAUCAAAUUGGCUAAUUCAUUCCAGAUUAUGCUGAAUGUAAGCUCUCCAGACGAAGAAACCAUCAUCUAACACAGGGGUGAGGUGGGGCACGGUGACGGGAGGAUCAGAUGAAGAGGAGUCAGCAGUAAUAACGGAAAAGGAAGGCCCAGGGUGAUUGGAGAAAAGCCAGGACAGUGUGAGGACUCUAAGCCCAGCAUUAGAACUUCAAGAAGAAUGGAGAGGUCAACAAUGUCAAAUUCUCCAACAUCUGAGGAAGAGAGCAAGAUGAAAGCAUUGGGUUUAGAAAUGUGAAUGUAAUUGAUGAGCUUGCUAAGGUAGUUUCAGAGGGACGAUAGUGAAAAAACAAAAAGAUAAAGCCUGUGCUCGGUAAAAAUUUAGAGAAAAGGAAAAUUUAAAGUAGGGACUUCGGUGGCUGACUGGUCAUUUUUUGAAAGGCCUCUCGGUGAGGGGAAGGAGAAAGAGAUAAUUGGAGCCAGAGGGACGUGCAAGGUUGGUGGCAUUUGUUAUUAAGACCACAUCAGCUAGAGGCUUAAACCCAAGGUUUCAUUGUUGGGUUUCAUAGUAUGGUAAAAUCUUGGGUGUGGUUUUAGUCUAUGGGAAAGUAGUCAAUUAAGACUAGGAAUAGAAAUGUGUUUACAAGCAAAUGGAACAGGAGCUGAAGGAGAUGACACCCUGAAUUAAAAUUUAAUUAAUAUCACAGAGAAUGCUUUUCUAUCAUGGUUUCAUUAAACACAGAGCCUUCACUUCUAAAUAUUCAAAUACACAUAUAUACAUACACAUACACACACACCUUUAUACAAACUUUAAGUGUGUGGAGUGUUAGAAACCUCACUGUGUAAAAACUGAAACUAUAACAUGGGAAAUGAAGAAAGGUGAUUAUUUAGAUGAGAACACAUAUAAUAAUAAAAGUAACACAUUUUACGGUUUCUUUAAAUGUUUAUUCAUCCCUCUACACAAUUAAAUAGCAUGUGUUUUAGACAUUUUUAUUAUUUUCCAUUUUCCAGCUGUACAUACCAUGAGAGAUAUAGGUUCUAUAACUAUUUGGAGCUAUACAAAUAGAAAGAGGAAUAAGAAAAUGUUAUGUCCUCUCUCCUCUUUAAAAAAAAAAUUCUGUU